UACGUAGGGUGCGAGCGUUAAUCGGAAUUACUGGGCGUAAAGCGUGCGCAGGCGGUGCUGUAAGACAGGCGUGAAAUCCCCGGGCUCAACCUGGGAAUUGCGCUUGUGACUGCAAAGCUGGAGUGCGGCAGAGGGGGAUGGAAUUCCGCGUGUAGCAGUGAAAUGCGUAGAUAUGCGGAGGAACACCGAUGGCGAAGGCAAUCCCCUGGGCCUGCACUGACGCUCAUGCACGAAAGCGUGGGGAGCAAACAGG
rnacentral:rRNA from 1 species